rnacentral:lncRNA from 1 species
GUUCUGAUUCCCUCCCGUGUUUGGAUUGCGCCGCUUCUGCUUUCUGAUGAGCUGGGGGAGAGGCAUCCCGGGCAGCUUCUGGCUCGCCUUGCCAGAUGAUGGCAGAGUCCGCCCUGCCUGUCCCCAGCCUAGACGCCUAGCUGCACCAGGCAGGGCAUCGCUUUUGACGAUGGAAUGUGAUGUAGUGAGUGCUGCGGGUUGACUCGUGACCUAGGCUUUGAAGGAACUGCAGCUCAGGACAUGUAAAACUGUUUAGAUGGGAACCCUGGCCUUUCUCAGCUCUAUCGAGAGGCCCCGCCCCGCUAUCGUCUCAGCCAAAGUCACAACCCACUAUUGUGCAAGGGCCGCCUGGGAACACACAAGGUGCAGUCUGCCCUUCCCGGAUCGUGCCACCUUUCUCCCGUGGUUUAGGGCAAUAGUAAUAGAGGACAGGCGAAGAACACCUUCAGGGUCAACUGUGUGUGACAGGUUUUUGGAAAGUUUCUACACCCCAUAAGUCUCUCCGCCCAUGCAGCAAUCCAAAUCAGACCAAAUCAAACUGAAUUAGAAAAAGCCCAUGUUUAAUGGAUACAGCACUCCUGGAUGGCCUUCCAGCCCCCCAGAGAGGAGACAGAAAAUGGAAGAUCAAGAAAACCACAAGUGACUUCCCAUACAUGCAGAGACCAGAAGAGGAAGCUGGGUACCCUGCAACUGAAGACACUGGUUCUUGGGAGCUAGGAGUCAAAAUUGUUCUCUGCCAGAUGGCAGCAGGCAGUGGGAGCAGGGAGUCUCCGCUGUCUCGGUUCUCCAUGGUGCCUAGCUUCUUCUUGAUGAAGGGCCCCAGUGACAGCCUCCUCAAAGAGAAGUGAUAAUCCGAAGGGACAUUCCUCUCACAGACAGUU